rnacentral:rRNA from 1 species
GACGAACGCUGGCGGCGUGCCUAAUACAUGCAAGUAGAACGCAGUUGCGAACGGGUGAGUAACGCGUAGGUAACUGCCUCAUAGCGGGGGAUAACUAUUGGAAACGAUAGCUAAUACCGCAUACUGUGAGAUGGACCUGCGUUGUAUUAGCUAGUUGGUUAGGUAAAGGCUCACCAAGGCGACGAUACAUAGCCGAAUUGAGAGGGUGAACGGCCCAAAUGGGACGGAGACACGGAAAAGACUAAUCAGGGAGGAAGAAGUAGGGAAUGUUCGGCAAUGGACGGAAGUAUGACCGAGCAACGCCGAGUGAGUGAAGAAGGUGUUCGGAUAGUAAAGAUCUGUGGUUAGAGAAGCGGUCACUAACCAGAAAGGGACGGCUAACUACGUGCCAGCAGCCGCGGUAAUAC